ensembl:lncRNA
GCGGAGCCUCACCACGGGUUCCAGGUUCACUCGCAGGAUUUGGCGCGCUUUACGCCGUGCCGCCGCCAGGCUGCGCUCUCCCCACACGUCGCUGCCGACGCGGAUGGUGGGGAAGGUGGUCAGCGUCGGGGUGGCCGCCCUCCAGAUCUCCUCCAGGGUGCGGCCCCCGAAGCAGGGUUCCGGGGCCGCAGGCUUGACGGGGCAGCUCUCCUCGGGGACCGGCGGCGGGGGCGGCCGCUGCUGGCACCUCCCGCCCGGCGCGUCUCUCGCUACUUUUCUCGCCUCCGCCGCCGCUGCCCCUCCCCCUCCGAGGGCGGAGGACGCGGGUGAAGAUCCUGCCGCCCGGUACAAGAUGGCGGCCGGCGCCCACCCCUGGGCUUUGUCAUUGGACGGCGCCUCGCCCCCCUGGUUUCUCUUUCUUCUCCUCUCUUGCCUCCUUUCGCCCUCUGCCUUUCUUUAAAUGUGCCCGCCUUUGGCCCCUCCUACUGCAGCCCCGACUCCACCCAUUGGGUGCUCUCAGAAGAGGGCGGGGACUAAUGGGGGAGAGGCCAGUUCCUGGAAGAUGGUGCUGGGGUGGGUGAUGGUGGCUCUUGGACACGAGUCAACAGUUGGGUAGGUAUAUGAGGACGGUCCCUUGUCUAGAGUGGACAUCAGCUCCACUUGGGGGGGAGUCACUCUACUCUCGGAAUGAGUGGAUGUGCAUUUAUGGAUUGAGCUGGGAGGUCUACCAGUCUGAAUAACAAAGGGAGACCUACCCAAAGGCUGUAGUUUGUAUCACAAAAGGGGAAAUUGGGUGUAAGUCUAGAGGGAAUGGGCCUUCCACAAUUCUCUUCUGAACCUUCAGAAGCCUCUCUUGGCAUCUUCAUCCAACUCUUACCCACUUUGACCCCAAUCCAUGUCAAGCAACGCUAGUAAUCCAGAAUCAUUCAGAUAAUACGGACGCUGUCAGUGGCAUAGUCUCCUUCUAGACAGUGGAACCAUCUUCACAUUUAAGAGAUGCUCUGCUUAUCAGGAAAGUAAAGCCUUUUAUACCCAUAGAACUUUGCUCAAGUUGAUCAAAGAUCAAUUACAACAAAGCCAUUCUCCUUACAGAAAAUAUAAUUUUUAAAUAUACAGUUGGUUUUAAAUGAGUGCACUUCACCUUUCAUUUAGUUUUAGUAUGUCCCUUUGCAGUACCAUCUCUAGCGCAGAGAAAGGAUGCAGUUUCACAAUCAAAAGGUUUCUGUUGAAAAGAACAGGUUGUUAAGACCCCAUCACCUUUUGUAUUUGAGAGGAGGGGAUUGAAUGUUUAUAGAGUAAUGCACAGUCUUCUGUCAUCUUUUCUAUCCUCAAUACUUAGUUCAGCACCUGUCAGACAGUGGGCACUCUAUUUUUGUUGAGUGAACCAGUGAGAAACAUAAUGAUGUGAGAAACAUAUAUUCAAAUUGCUAACAGGACAAUUUCACAUUUUACAUUUCAGGUUUCUUUUAACUCUGUUAAAGUUUUAAGGUUUUAAAAAAAAAAAAAAAAAGCACUCCUAAAACAUAGAACUGUGAGGUAGACAUGCAAAUUUUACCCCUGAGAGAGCACUUUAUUUUGCAGUAGAAAACUCAUAGAGCAGAGUUUUGUGAUUCACACAUAGCUGCUAUUGGUUCCUUCAAAUAUUUGAGCUAAAAGGCACCUAGUUCAAUCUCCUUAUUUCAUGGAUGAGGAAAUUUGGAUCCACAGAGGUUAGGUAAUGAGGCUUCUUGAUUGUAGGACUAGGACUAUAGUUUAGGUCUUUGGAUUCCUAAUCUUAGUGAUCUUUAUAUUUCACUAGAGAUUUUACAAGUUGUACUGCUCAGACUCAAAGAGAUUCAAUAGAAAAUGCUUUAUGAGUGGAGUGACCAAGGAACAGAGCUGUUCACCUGAUUCCACUUCUGGCUCCUCCCAGAAUUGAGCAGUUUUUAACCUGUCCAGUAUACUGGACUUACAGAUUAUAUUUUCUUAGAACCAGAUUUUAACUUCGAUAAAAAAUAAAAAUAUUUUGAAAGUUGCUUCUCUGUACCACAGCAUCCUGUCCAUGCACUGGGUUUAUGCAAAAAUCAAGCUUCCUACCAGAGGACCAGUUCGCAACCUACCUAAAUCAUGGUAACUUUCUGAAGAGAAAAUCAGUUUCCUAGAAAAGCAUAUCCUUAUUUCAUGGAUCAGGAAAUUUGGAUCCACAGAGGUUAGGUAAUGAGGCUUCUUGAUUGUAGGACUAGGACUAUAGUUUAGGUCUUUGGAUUCCUAAUCUUAGUGAUCUUUAUAUUUCACUAGAGAUUUUACAAGUUGUACUGCUCAGACUCAAAGAGAUUCAAUAGAAAAUGCUUUAUGAGUGGAGUGACCAAGGAACAGAGCUGUUCACCUGAUUCCACUUCUGGCUCCUCC